rnacentral:rRNA from 1 species
AUACCAGCUCUCCGAGUGGUAGGGGUGAUUAUUGGGCUUAAAGCGUCCGUAGCCGGCCUGGCAAGUCUUCCGUUAAAUCCAGCAACCUAAUUGUUGGGCUGCGGGGGAUACUGUUAGGCUUGGGGGCGGGAGAGGCCGACGGUAUUCUCGGGGUAGGGGUGAAAUCUUAUAAUCCCGAAAGGACCACCAGUGGCGAAGGCUGUCGGCUAGCACGCGCCUGACGGUGAGGGACGAAAGCUGGGGGAGCGAACCGGAUUAGAGACCCGAGUAGUCC